GAUGAACGCUGGCGGCGUGCCUAAUACAUGCAAGUCGAGCGAACGGAUGAGAAGCUUGCUCCUCUGACGUUAGCGGCGGACGGGUGAGUAACACGUGGAUAACCUACCUAUAAGACUGGGAUAACUUCGGGAAACCGGAGCUAAUACCGGAUAAUAUUUUGAACCGCAUGGUUCAAUAGUGAAAGACGGUUUUGCUGUCACUUAUAGAUGGAUCCGCGCUGCAUUAGCUAGUUGGUAAGGUAACGGCUUACCAAGGCAACGAUGCGUAGCCGACCUGAGAGGGUGAUCGGCCACACUGGAACUGAGACACGGUCCAGACUCCUACGGGAGGCAGCAGUAGGGAAUCUUCCGCAAUGGGCGAAAGCCUGACGGAGCAACGCCGCGUGAGUGAUGAAGGUCUUCGGAUCGUAAAACUCUGUUAUUAGGGAAGAACAAAUGUGUAAGUAACUAUGCACGUCUUGACGGUACCUAAUCAGAAAGCCACGGCUAACUACGUG
rnacentral:rRNA from 1 species